GCCGCGGUGGUGGAAUGGCAGACACAGGGGCCUUAAGAGCCCCCGUCAGCAAUGGCGUGCGGGUUCGACUCCCGCUCGCGGUA
rnacentral:tRNA from 1 species